ACAUUCGUAAGCAAGUGUGGGUGGAAGCU
rnacentral:sRNA from 1 species